GACGAACGCUGGCGGCGUGCUUAACACAUGCAAGUCGAGCGGUAAGGCCCUUUCGGGGGUACACGAGCGGCGAACGGGUGAGUAACACGUGGGUGACCUGCCCUCAGCUCUGGGAUAAGCCUGGGAAACUGGGUCUAAUACUGGAUAUGACUCCACGGUGCAUGUCGUGGGGUGGAAAGCCUUGUGCGGCUGAGGAUGGGCCCGCGGCCUAUCAGCUUGUUGGUGGGGUGANGGCCUACCAAGGCGACGACGGGUAGCCGGCCUGAGAGGGCGACCGGCCACACUGGGACUGAGACACGGCCCAGACUCCUACGGGAGGCAGCAGUGGGGAAUAUUGCGCAAUGGGCGGAAGCCUGACGCAGCGACGCCGCGUGGGGAUGACGGCCU
rnacentral:rRNA from 1 species